rnacentral:rRNA from 1 species
UAACACGUGGGAAUCUGCCCAAAAGUGGGGAACAACUCCUCGAAAGAGGAGCUAAUACCGCAUACGGUUUCUGGAUACAACCGGAAAACUAAAGCUUCGCAAGAGGCGCUUUUGGAGGAGCCUGCGGCUGAUUAGCUAGUUGGUGGGGUAAAAGCCUACCAAGGCUGUGAUCAGUAGCUGGUCUGAGAGGAUGGACAGCCACACUGGGACUGAGAUACGGCCCAG